rnacentral:lncRNA from 1 species
CUAAUUCCACCGCGGCGGGAGCCGGGGAGCAGGAAGGCGUGGGAGUGAGCCGCUCGUUCAUAGAGACGAACAAGGAACUGAACUGGAGUAUCUGCUCCAUCCGAAAUCUAGACUUAAAGCCCGGGGAUUCAGUCGUGGUAACACCCUCCAGUUUUGUUCUAAAGGCUAAAAAAUGAAAGGGCCGUAGUCAUUGAUGUGAUAGCAAGAAGGGAUACCACUGAAUAUAAUGUAUACGUAUGGAGUCCUCAUAGGUUGUAAAACUGAGCCUCAGUCUGGUAAGAAGACUAAUUAGUGAAGGAAAGGGAAAAGGCAAUUCAGACAGAAUAGGAUGCGUGUUAGAAAGUGAUGAUGUGAACUCAAAUUGUAGAGCCAAAAUUCAAGCUAGAAGCAGACUGGAGAGGUAGGUACAUGCUAGGUCAUAAGGACUAGGUGUACUCCGCUGAGAAGUUUGAAUGGAAUUCACUUAAAGAUGCUAAACCAUUAUAGGAUUUUUACUCGAAAAAGGCAUUAACAGUUAAAUUUACGUUUUUGUUUGUUAUUCUGUCUGUACUAUGGAAGACACACGACUGGACAGCAACAAUAGAAGAAUGAUUAAAGGGAACAGAACAGUUGUUGGGAGACAACUGCUGUGCUGCAGGCGAAUGUAUGCUCACUGCUCAGUGGGGUUUGACUGUUUACGUCGCCAGGGACUGUAGCCGUCCAGUCUCCUCUGUCCAUGAAAUUUCCCAGGCAAGGAUAUUGGAGUGAGUUGUCACUGCCUUCUCCAAAGGAUCUUCCCCACCCAGGGAUCGAACCCAGGGCUCCUACAUUGGGAGGUGGAUUCUUCACCCCUGAACCAAAAUGUCUCUUAAAUAGAAGUGAACUACUACAGAGGGUUAAGAAUGAAUGGACUAAAUGUCCAUCAACAUAUGAAGGGAUAAAGAUGUGGUACAUUAUAUACAAUGGAAUACUAGCCGUCAACAAGAAUGAAAUAAUGCCAUUUCCAACAAGGCAGAUGGACUGAAAGAUUGCCAUAGCAACCAAAGUCAGUCAAAAAGAGGAACACAAGUACCUUAUCGUAUCGC